rnacentral:lncRNA from 1 species
NNNNNNNNNNNNNNNNNNNNNNNNNNNNNNNNNNNNNNNNNNNNNNNNNNNNNNNNNNNNNNNCCCUGCCCUGGGGUCACGGGGAGUCAUUGCCCUGCUCUGGGGUCAUGAAGGUCACAGGGGUCACAGCCCACCCUGGUGUCACAGGGGUCACAGCCCACCUUGGGGUCACAGGGGUCACUGCCUCACCUGGGGUCACGGGGGUCACUGCCACCUGCCCUGGGGUCACAAAGGUCAUGGCCCUGCCCUGGGGUCAUGAAGUCAUGGGGUCAUUGUCCCCUCCUUGGUGUCAUGGGGGGUCAUGACCCCCUGCCCUGGAGUCACUGGGGGUCAUGGCCUCACCAUGGGGUCACAGGGGUCACAGCCCCUGCCCUGGGGUCACAGGGGUCACUGGCCUGCCCUGAGGUCACAGGRUCACGGCCCUGCCCUGGGGUCAUGGUCCCCUUUCCUCUGGGGUCACUGGAGGUCGGUGCCCCUCGCAGGGCUCAGUGUCCCCUGGGGUCGCUGGGGGCAAGCGCCCCCGUGCCAGCGUCCCCGGGGGACCCCAGUGGCCCCGGCCCCGACCCACGGCCGGGCUCCGGCUCUGCCCCCAGGUCCCCCAUGUCCCUGGUGUCCCCGGCGUCCCCAACCUCACGAUGGGGUGUGGAGCCCCUGGAGCCCCCGGAGCUCCCAGCACAUCCCAGUGGGGCCCAGCACAUCCCAGUGGCUCCCUUGGGGUCCAACACAUCCCCAUGGGUCCCAGUACAUCCCAGCAGGUGCCAUGGGUCCCAGCACAUCCCAGCGGGUCCCACGGGGCCCAGCACAUCCCAGUGGGUCCCAUGGGGUCCAGCACAUCCCCAUGGGUCCCAGCACAUCCCAGUGGGUCCCACAGGGUCCAGCACAUCCCCAUGGGUCCCAGCACAUCCCAGCAGGUCCCACGGGUCCCAGCACAUCCUAGUGGUUCCCAGUGGAUCCCAGCACAUCCCAGUGGAUCCCUACACUGGCAGCAGGUCCCAGCCCUGGCUGUGGGUCCCAGUGCUCACAGUGGGUCCCAGCACUUGCAGUGGGUCCCAGGGGUCCCAGACCUGGCUGCGGGUCCCAGCACAUCCCAGCGGGUCCCAGCGCUCCCAGUGGGUCGCAGCCCGGCCGCCGGCAGGACGCGUGGCCGUGGGGCGGCCCGGGGGGGCUCAACCCCUUCUUCCCGCGCCGCCGCGGCACCGGCAUCCUGCUGCCACCUCCGCCGGCCCGCUGCAGUGCCGAGCGUCCCCGCGGCGCGGCGGCGAGGAGGAGCGCGGCGGAGGAAGGGGGGCAGCCGGCCACGGCCAGGCACGGGUGGGACCGGGGACGGGGCGCCCCACGGCCGCUGCCACCAGCCCCCCACCGCUGCCGGCCCCCCCGCCGCAUCCAGAGCCUUGCGGUGGCCCGGGAGAGACGGGCACGCCGGGAUGCCCAUGCAGCGGCGCGGGACGGGGUGCUGCAGCCCUGCCGGCCGCGGCGCCGGGGCUCGGGGACGGUGGAGGGUCCCGGCUGCAUCCCUGGCUGCGUCCCCGGGAGCUGCCGGGAUUUGCACGAAGAGCAAACAAAGCGGUAGCAGCCCCACGCGCCCCCGUCGGCCCCACUGCAGCCCCCAGCACGGCGCCUCCGGCCAGGYGGCGAGGGAU